UCAAUUUUGUAAAGGUUUGAUCACGAAACUAAUACGUAUUAGACAUUCGGACUGCAUCAAAUUCUUUAUUCUACAAAAGCGCAUGUAAAUUAGGAGUAAAAAGAAGCAAAUCGAUGUGCCAGCAAUCGUGAAUGUUGAAGAAGCAGUCGAUUCUUGGUAAACAUUAGUGUUUCUAGACGAACCAUUUGUUCAA